rnacentral:rRNA from 1 species
UACGAAGGGGGCUAGCGUUGUUCGGAAUUACUGGGCGUAAAGCGCGUGUAGGCGGGCCGUUAAGAUGGGGGUGAAAGCCCCGAGCUCAACUCCGGAACUGCCUUCAUGACUGGCGGCCUGGACUCAAGGAGAGGCAAGUGGAAUUGCGAGUGUAGAGGUGAAAUUCGUAGAUAUUCGCAGGAACACCAGUGGCGAAGGCGACUUGCUGGACUUGUAGUGACGCUGAGACGCGAAAGCGUGGGGAGCAAACAGG